UAUCUCUGUAGAGUCUGCAUAUCAAUAAGCGGAGGAAAAGAAACUAACUAGGAUUCCCUCAGUAACGGCGAGUGAAGCGGGAAGAGCUCAAAUUUGAAAUCUUCAAGGUUCUACCUCGACGAAUUGUAGUUUAAAGAAGUGUUUUCUGUUGGAGUUUUGGUAAAAGUUCUUUGGAAUAGGACAUCAUAGAGGGUGAGAAUCCCGUAUUUGACCAUUAUUUCCAGCUUUGUGAUACACUUUCAAAGAGUCGGGUUGUUUGGGAAUGCAGUCCAAAAUGGGUGGUAAAUUUCAUCUAAAGCUAAAUAUUGGCGAGAGACCGAUAGCGAACAAGUACCGUGAGGGAAAGAUGAAAAGAACUUUGAAAAGAGAGUUAAACAGUACGUGAAAUUGUCAAAAGGGAAGCGUUUGACACCAGUGUUGUUUUCUCGAAAAUCAAUUAAAAAAGGCUGGAUUUUGUGUUGUAUUGACUUUAUCAGCUUUCUGCACUCUUUUCUUGUCUUUUUUAAUGCACUUUUCGUUUAACAAGUCAACAUCAAUUUCUUUUGUUGUAAAAGGGUCAUUGGAAGGUGGCUUUCUUUUCGGAGAAAGUGUUUAUAGCCUUUGGCCUCUGCAAUCGGAGAGAUUGAGGUCUGCAGCGUAGAUCCUUCGGGGUUAGAUACAUUUGUGCUAAGCUAUAGCCUUUCAUAGACAACUUGUUGACUAUGAUCAGUCAUGUAGCUUACUCGCUUAUGCUAUUUUACCUACGCUUAGGAUGUUGAGUAGCGACAUACGCAC
rnacentral:rRNA from 1 species